GACGAACGCUGGCGGCGUGCUUAACACAUGCAAGUCGAACGGAAAGGCCCUGCUUUUGUGGGCUGCUCGAGUUGCGAACGGGUGAGUAACCCGUGAGUUACCUGCCCUUCCCUUUGGGAUAACCUCAGGACACUGGGUCUAAUCCCGGCUAGGAGCUCCUGCUGCUUGGUGGGGGUUGGAUGGUUUCGCCGGUUGGGGAUGGACUCGCGUCUUAUCAGCUUGUUGGUGGGGUAGCGGAUUACCAAGGCCUUGACGGGUAGCCGUGCUGCGAGGGUGACCGGACAAAUUGGGACGGAAAUACGACACGGACUCCAACGGGAGGGAGGAGUGGAGAAGAGUGCACAAUGGGCGGAAGGCUGAUGCAGCAACGCCGCGUGGGGGAUGAGGGCCAGCGGGUAGUAAACCGAUUUCGCCUGUGACGAAGCGAGAGUGACGGUAAUGGGUAAAGAAGCACCGGCUAACUACGUG
rnacentral:rRNA from 1 species